rnacentral:rRNA from 1 species
GAAACUAAAAUUAAUUGGCGGCUUUUUAAAUAUCUUAGAGAAAUUUAUUCUUUAAAGGAGUCAACCCCAAAAUCUUACUUUUUUUUGUAUAAUUUAAUACAUUACCUUUCAUAUACCUCUAUCUUUUGAUUACUAGUUUAAUUAUAAAUUUAGCUUUUUUUAGAUAAAUUUUAGGGAAAGGUGUGGAUAAUAAAAAAGGAUGAAAUAAGUUUCAUUAAUUAGUAUUUAAUGAUUUAUUUUUGAAUAAAGUUUAAAAAUAGAAUUUAAAAGUAAUAUUAGUAUAUUUUGCUAAUUUGAAUUAGUUUUUAGAAGUGUACAUAUUGCCCGUCACUCUCUUAUUAG